rnacentral:rRNA from 1 species
UCUGGCCUACGGGACGCAGCAGUGAGGAAUAUUGGUCAAUGGGCGGGAGCCUGAACCAGCCAAGUCGCGUGAGGGAAGAAGGUACUGAGUAUUGUAAACCUCUUUCGCCAGGGGACAAAGGCGGCCACGGGUGGCCGUAAGAGGGUACCUGGAGAAAAAGCAUCGGCUAACUCCGUGCCAGCAGCCGCGGUAAUACGGAGGAUGCGAGCGUUAUCCGGAUUUAUUGGGUUUAAAGGGUACGCAGGCGUCGUGUCAAGUCAGCGGUAAAAUGUCGGGGCUCAACCCCGGCCGGCC